UCAUUAAAUCAGUUAUCGUUUAUUUGAUAGUACCUUACUACAUGGAUAACCGUGGUAAUUCUAGAGCUAAUACAUGCUAAAAACCCCGACUUCGGAAGGGGUGUAUUUAUUAGAUUAAAAACCAAUGCCCUUCGGGGCUCACUGGUGAUUCAUGAUAACUUCUCGAAUCGCACGGCCUUGCGCCGGCGAUGGUUCAUUCAAAUUUCUGCCCUAUCAACUUUCGACGGCUGGGUCUUGGCCAGCCGUGGUGACAACGGGUAACGGAGGGUUAGGGCUCGACCCCGGAGAAAACGCCUGAGAAACGGCGUUUACAUCCAAGGAAGGCAGCAGGCGCGCAAAUUACCCAAUGCCGACACGGCGAGGUAGUGACGAGAAAUACUGAUACAGGGCUCUUUUGGGUCUUGUAAUUGGAAUGAGUACAAUUUAAAUCUCUUAACGAGGAACAAUUGGAGGGCAAGUCUGGUGCCAGCAGCCGCGGUAAUUCCAGCUCCAAUAGCGUAUAUUAAAGUUGUUGCAGUUAAAAAGCUCGUAGUUGAACCUUGGGCCUGGCUGGCCGGUCCGCCUCACCGCGUGCACUGGUCCGGCCGGGCCUUUCCCUCUGGGGAACCGCAUGCCCUUCACUGGGCGUGUCGGGGAACCAGGACUUUUACUUUGAAAAAAUUAGAGUGUUCAAAGCAGGCCUAUGCUCGAAUACAUUAGCAUGGAAUAAUAGAAUAGGACGUGUGGUUCUAUUUUGUUGGUUUCUAGGACCGCCGUAAUGAUUAAUAGGGACAGUCGGGGGCAUCAGUAUUCAAUUGUCAGAGGUGAAAUUCUUGGAUUUAUUGAAGACUAACUACUGCGAAAGCAUUUGCCAAGGAUGUUUUCAUUAAUCAGGAACGAAAGUUAGGGGAUCGAAGACGAUCAGAUACCGUCGUAGUCUUAACCAUAAACUAUGCCGACUAGGGAUCGGACGGUGUUAUUUUUUGACCCGUUCGGCACCUUACACGAAAGUACAAGUUUCUGGGUUCUGGGGAGAUGCCCAAAAAAGAAAAAAAAAAGCC
rnacentral:rRNA from 1 species